UGAGCCGAUGGGCAACGCAGGAUCGGAACUGUUGCUCACCAACGUAGUAUUGUCUUGUUGACUGUCACUAGCACGCUUUAAACAAUUUCCCAUUUUGAUGGGAACGUUAUCUCUAAUCUCCCGUUCCUCGAACAACACCGUACAAUUUGUGAAUAUCCCAGCAUCGAUUAAAGAAUCGCGAUAACACCGACGUGGGAUAUUAAGAGUUCUGUCCCCAUGGUAAAUCGCGUUGUUUUUGCGCUGAUUCUCGUUACGCGAUCCGUCUUCGCUCGAACGGAUGACAGUUCGCGUUCCUCGCGUCAAAAUAAGGUGGCGCAGAGGCCUUUACUAGUGAAACAUCAUCCGUCACGUACUCGUAACCACAGCUGACUCUCUACGCAUCUAUCGAGACGCGAUCGAAAGAAAAACAGGCCAGUUAUAUUCGCCAGGUUGUGCGUGCGAAAGAAAAAAAGCACUUUUCACAUCUCUCGCGACGUUCUUCAAACGUUUAGUACACACUGCUCAGCUUGCAUCCUGCUGCGUAAAAGAUACCUCGCCGCGAUUCGUCGCCGUGACCGUAUCGCAUUUUCCGACGUCCAAUCAGUGAAAAACGACUGUCAGCGAUACAAAGACUUCAUGGAAGCAUCACGCAUACACCUCGUUCGGAAGACACCCGGCAACUAACCUGCGAUUGGCUCCUCGUCACACCGACAUCGCGUGAAGCGACAUUUGAAAUGCAGUUCGCUAGAAUUUAGAGAAACGCCGUUUCAGCUGCCAUUUAUAUCAUUAGGUAUUGUACAUGAUAGAUGAAGUAACAUUUUAAAGACAAUACAACAUUUCUGCGAAAUGUUCGUCGUUUAGGUUAUUUUUUCGAGGAUACAAUCCAUCGAAGGGAGAGUAUGCAGAAAUAUUUUGAAACAAAAUUGAGACCAUUUUCGAAGUCAUUGCCCGCCUAACUUAAGAUUAAAGUGAAGGAUAACAACAAUGGCGGCGUAGUUGAUCACAUGAUGGACUUCUCAUUGGUCCAUUUUGUGCUGGACAAGACUGUACCCAUAUGCAAUAUGAUAGAACAAAAGAUUUUCCUGACUCCCAUUCUUGAAAGUACAGGUAUUAAAAAGAUGCAAUUAAAAAUAAGAACAAUCUGUUACUUUUCUUAAGAAGCAAUUGCUAUUUAAGGAAAUGUAAGAUGAACCUCAAUAGAGAUUAUAAAUUUUAAAGAUAUUCUAAAAUAAGAUUCUUCAUUUUAAGAGAUAAA